AUUUUCUGGAAAGAAUAAUGUGCUACAAGAUCAUAAAAUCUCAGGACCAAAACACAUUCAUAAUAAUUCAUAAUCAAACCCUAAACAAACCCUAAAUCCAUAAUUCAUAAUCAAACCCUAAACAAAUCCUAAAUCCAUAACCGCAGACAUACCCUAAACAAACCCUUAACUCUAAUCAAAGUACAAACCAUAGCCCCAAACACACAUGACAUCUAUUUAUUCACUAUUUUUAUGUACAUUGGUCACUAAUUAUGUACAUCCGUCCACUAUCUUUACAAGAUGUUUUAACACUAAUUUAGAGG
rnacentral:lncRNA from 1 species